ACCGUUUGUUUAGAUGCGGACUUGACUUCCACUUUAAUAAAUAUGUAGUUUUUGGUUUACCAUCCAAAUAUCCAAAUAAUACAGUAUGUGAGUCUCUAUGUCCAUUAUUCUGUCUUCAAAAUAUAAAAUUGAAGUUUGUUUCGUCCUUUAUUACACGCCAUAAAGAUGAAAAAGUGUACACAUAAGUUCAUAAUCUUGAAAGAAUGCCUGGUGUUCCUGGUGUUGCUAAAUAUCUUCGUACAAAGCCAAAAAAUACGCUUUGUCGCAAUAAUAUAUGAAACCUGAAAAUCGUGUUGCUCAUUGUUUACAUCAAAUCUGAAUUCACAUAUCUCAAGAGUAGGCGGAAGUGACCUAUCCUGUAUAAUUUUCA